GACGAACGCUGGCGGCGUGCUUAACACAUGCAAGUCGAACGGUGAAGCGCCUUCCUUUUUGGUGGGUGUGGAUGAGUGGCGAACGGGUGAGUAACACGUGAGUAACCUGCCCCCUUCUUCUGGAUAACCGCAUGAAAGUGUGGCUAAUACGGGAUAUUCUGGGUCUGUCGCAUGAUGGGUCUGGGAAAGAUAUUGUUUCGGUGGGGGAUGGGCUCGCGGCCUAUCAGCUUGUUGGUGGGGUGAUGGCCUACCAAGGCGGUGACGGGUAGCCGGCCUGAGAGGGUGGACGGUCACACUGGGACUGAGCCACGGCCCAGACUCCGACGGGAGGCAGCAGUGGGGAAUAUUGCACAAUGGGAGCAAGCCUGAUGCAGCGACGCCGCGUGAGGGAUGGAGGCCUUCGGGUUGUGAACCUCUUUCGCCAGUGAAGCAGGCCUGCCUCGUUUGUGGGUGGGUUGACGGUAGCUGGAUAAGAAGCGCCGGCUAACUACGUG
rnacentral:rRNA from 1 species